ACUCCUACGGGAGGCAGCAGUGGGGAAUAUUGCACAAUGGGCGCAAGCCUGAUGCAGCCAUGCCGCGUGUAUGAAGAAGGCCUUCGGGUUGUAAAGUACUUUCAGCAGUGAGGAAGGCAGGUACGUUAAUAGCGUGCUUGUUUGACGUUAGCUGCAGAAGAAGCACCGGCUAACUCCGUGCCAGCAGCCGCGGUAAUACGGAGGGUGCGAGCGUUAAUCGGAAUUACUGGGCGUAAAGCGCAUGCAGGUGGUUUGUUAAGUCAGAUGUGAAAGCCCGGGGCUCAACCUCGGAAUUGCAUUUGAAACUGGCAGACUAGAGUACUGUAGAGGGGGUAGAAUUUCAGGUGUAGCGGUGAAAUGCGUAGAGAUCUGAAGGAAUACCGGUGGCGAAGGCGGCCCCCUGGACAGAUACUGACACUCAGAUGCGAAAGCGUGGGGAGCAAACAGGAUUAGAUACCCUGGUAGGAUAGAG
rnacentral:rRNA from 1 species